UGCCAGACUCCUACGGGAGGCAGCAGUGGGGGAUAUUGCACAAUGGGGGAAACCCUGAUGCAGCGACGCCGCGUGGGCGAAGAAGUAUUUCGGUAUGUAAAGCCCUAUCAGCAGGGAAGAAGAAAUGACGGUACCUGAGUAAGAAGCACCGGCUAAAUACGUGCCAGCAGCCGCGGUAAUACGUAUGGUGCAAGCGUUAUCCGGAUUUACUGGGUGUAAAGGGAGCGUAGACGGCAGUGCAAGUCUGAAGUGAAAGGCGGGGGCCCAACCCCCGAACUGCUUUGGAAACUGUGCUGCUGGAGUGCAGGAGAGGCAAGUGGAAUUCCUAGUGUAGCGGUGAAAUGUGUAGAUAUCAGGAGGAACACCGGUGGCGAAGGCGGCCUGCUGGACUGCAACUGACGUUGAGGCCCGAAAGCGUGGGGAGCAAACAGGAUUAGAUACCCCUGUAGA
rnacentral:rRNA from 1 species